rnacentral:rRNA from 1 species
GAUGAACGCUAGCGGCAGGCUUAAUACAUGCAAGUCGAGGGGUAGCAAGAUUGUAGCAAUACAAUUGUUGACGACCGGCAAACGGGUGCGGAACACGUACACAACCUUCCUACAAGUGGGGAAUAGCCCAGAGAAAUUUGGAUUAAUACCCCGUAACAUAGCGAUGUGGCAUCACAUUGCUAUUAUAGCUUCGGCGCUUGUUGAUGGGUGUGCGGCUGAUUAGAUAGUUGGCGGGGUAACGGCCCACCAAGUCUACGAUCAGUAGCUGAUGUGAGAGCAUGAUCAGCCACACGGGCACUGAGACACGGGCCCGAGUCCUACGGGAGGCAGCAGUAAGGAAUAUUGAACAAUGGACGCAAGUCUGAUCCAGCCAUGCCGCGUGAAGGAUUAAGGUCCUCUGGAUUGUAAACUUCUUUUAUAAGGGACGAAAAAAGGUCUUUCUAGAUCGUCUGACGGUACCUUAUGAAUAAGCACCGGCUAACUCCGUGCCAGCCGCCGCAGUAAAAC